rnacentral:rRNA from 1 species
CCUACGUGUGGCAGCAGUGGGGAAUAUUGGGCAAUGGGCGCAAGCCUGACCCAGCAACGCCGCGUGAAGGAAGCAGUCUUUCGGGUUGUACACUUCUUUUAUCAGGGACGAAGCAAGUGACGGUACCUGCUGAAUAAGCCACGGCUAACUACGUGCCAGCAGCCGCGGUAAUACGUAGGUGGCAAGCGUUAUCCGGAUUUACUGGGUGUAAAGGGCGUGUAGGCGGGAGUGCAAGUCAGAUGUGAAAACUAUGGGCUCAACCCAUAGCCUGCAUUUGAAACUGGACUUCUUGAGUGCUGGAGAGGCAAUCGGAAUUCCGUGUGUAGCGGUGAAAGGCGUAGAUAUACGGAGGAACACCAGUGGCGAAGGCGGAUUGCUGGACAGUAACUGACGCUGAGGCGCGAAAGCGUGGGGAGCAAACAGGAUUAGAUACCCCAGUAGUC